UCCUCAGUAGCUCAGUGGUAGAGCAGUCGGCUGUUAACCGAUUAGUCGUAGGUUCAAAUCCUACUUGGGGAG
rnacentral:tRNA from 2 species